GGAAUCUUCCACAAUGGGCGCAAGCCUGAUGGAGCAACGCCGCGUGAGUGAAGAAGGGUUUCGGCUCGUAAAGCUCUGUUGUUAAAGAAGAACACGUAUGAGAGUAACUGUUCAUACGUUGACGGUAUUUAACCAGAAAGUCACGGCUAACUACGUGCCAG
rnacentral:rRNA from 1 species